rnacentral:tRNA from 1 species
UCCCUGGUAGCCUAGUGGGUUAAGGAGCUGGCACUGUCACUGUUGUGGCGUAGGUUAAAUCCCUGGCCAGGGAA